CAUCUACUCCCUCCGUUCGGAAUUACUUGUCGCAGAAAUGGAUGUAUCUAGACGUAUUUUAGUUCUAGAUACAUCCAUUUCCGAGACAAGUAAUUCCGAACGGAGGGAGUAAUUU
rnacentral:pre_miRNA from 1 species